AUUCAGCUGACGAGACCAAAUUGGGAGGAAACGCGCGUUCUGAAU
rnacentral:hammerhead_ribozyme from 1 species